rnacentral:rRNA from 1 species
CACGGGGGUUGCGAGCGUUGUCCGGAAUUACUAGGCGUAAAGGGCAGGCAGGCGGAUCCAUAAGUUUAUCGUUUAAGGCGUCGGCUUAACCGGCGUAGGGCGGUAGAUACUGUGGAUCUGGAAUGCGGUUGGGGAAGACAGAAUUCCUGGUGUAUCGGUGGAAUGCGCAGAGAUCAGGAGGAAUACCGAAGGCGAAGGCAGUCUUCCAAGCCGUUAUUGACGCUCAACUGCGAAGGUGUGGGUAUCAAACAGGAUUAGAUACCCCCGUAGUCCCUGAG